rnacentral:rRNA from 1 species
CACGUAGGGUGCGAGCGUUGUCCGGAAUUAUUGGGCGUAAAGAGCUCGUAGGCGGUGUGUCGCGUCGGCCGUGAAAACCUGCAGCUUAACUGUGGGCUUGCGGUCGAUACGGGCAUCACUGGAGUUCGGCAGGGGAGACUGGAAUUCCUGGUGUAGCGGUGAAAUGCGCAGAUAUCAGGAGGAACACCGGUGACGAAGGCGGGUCUCUGGGAAGUAACUGACGCUGAGAAGCGAAAGCAUGGGUAGCAAACAGA